GUCAGAAGCUAGGAUUAAAGAACAAAUACAGAACAAAUUAUUCCUCCAGCACCCCUACUGCAAGGAUUUUAAGAACUCUAUCUCAGGAUAAAGACCUGAGGCCCAAGGAAGACGAAGAGAUAUCUGAAUGGCCUGGACAUGGCAUGUAAAAAUGACUCAGCCAACAGCUGGAAAGAAGCUGCUGGCCUUCAGAUGGCUGGAUUCUCAUAUCUGUGUUGGCGUUAAAUAUUGUUACAUGUUGUUUUCGAUGAAGCAUAUAAAGAAAGUCUACCUUGGAAAAGGUAGGCAUAUUUUAAUAGCCUUUCAGUUAUUCUUUGAUA
rnacentral:lncRNA from 1 species